rnacentral:rRNA from 1 species
AGUGAACGCUGGCGGCAGGCCUAACACAUGCAAGUCGAGCGGCAGCGCGUCCGACCACCCUCGGGUGGUCGGAUGGCGGCGAGCGGCGGACGGGUGAGGAAUGCAUCGGAAUCUGCCUCGUUGUGGGGGAUAACGUAGGGAAACUUACGCUAAUACCGCAUACGACCUACGGGUGAAAGUGGGGGACCUUCGGGCCUCACGCGAUGAGAUGAGCCGAUGCCGGAUUAGCUAGUUGGCGGGGUAAAGGCCCACCAAGGCGACGAUCCGUAGCUGGUCUGAGAGGAUGAUCAGCCACACUGGAACUGAGACACGGUCCAGACUCCUACGGGAGGCAGCAGUAAGGAAUAUUGGUCAAUGGAGGGAACUCUGAACCAGCCAUCCCGCGUGAAGGAUGAAGGGGCUCUGCCUUGUAAACUUCUUUUGCAUGGGACGAAAAAACUUAAUUUAUUAAGGACUGACGGUACCAUGAGAAUAAGCACCGGCUAACUCCGUGCCAGCA